ACUCAUUUUGCUCUGGCCAACUCUGGUGGCAUUGAGGUAGAGAGCUGAUAGACAAAACCAAGCAUCGGAAUCUGAAGCUAGGGCGUUUAAUGUAAGUUCCAAUGAAUAAUUUUAUACAAUAGAUUGUAUUUUAGUCGAGUGAUUAAUAAAUAGUUAUA
rnacentral:lncRNA from 1 species